rnacentral:rRNA from 1 species
CCAAAAAGGAGGUAGGCGGUGAUCUUAGGCAAAUCCGGGAUCACUUACGCCGAGCACCGAGACGAGUCCUAUGAGGACGAAGUGACUGACACCACGCUUCCAGGAAAAGCCACUAAGCUUCAGCUUAAGAAAAACCGUACCGCAAACCGACACAGGUAGGCAGGGUGAGAAUCCCAAGGCGCUUGAGAGAACUCGGGUGAAGGAACUAGGCAAAAUGGCACCGUAACUUCGGGAGAAGGUGCGCCCUUUGGUGUGGUCACGUGCGUGACUGAGCAUUGAAGGGUCGCAGUAACCUGGCCGCUGCGACUGUUUAUCAAAAACACAGCACUCUGCAAACACGAAAGUGGACGUAUAGGGUGUGACGCCUGCCCGGUGCUGGAAGGUUAAUUGAUGGGGUCAGCCGCAAGGCGAAGCUCUUGAUCGAAGCCCCAGUAAACGGCGGCCGUAACGAUAACGGUCCUAAGGUAGCGAAAUUCCUUGUCGGGUAAGUUCCGACCUGCACGAAUGGCGUAACGACAGCGGCGCUGUCUCCACCCGAGACUCAGUGAAAUUGAAAUCGCUGUGAAGAUGCAGCGUUCACGCGGCAAGACGGAAAGACCCCGUGAACCUUUACUAUAGCUUUACACUGAACGUUGAGUUCUUCUGUGUAGGAUAGGUGGGAGGCUAUGAAACCAGGACGCUAGUUCUGGUGGAGCCAUCCUUGAAAUACCACCCUGAAGUGCUUGACGUUCUAACCUAGGCCCGUAAUCCGGGUCAGGGACCGUGUAUGGUGGGUAGUUUGACUGGGGCGGUCUCCUCCCAAAGAGUAACGGAGGAGCACGAAGGUACGCUCAGCGCGGUCGGACAUCGCGCACUGUGUGCAAAGGCAUAAGCGUGCUUGACUGCGAGAUCGACGGAUCAAGCAGGUACGAAAGUAGGUCUUAGUGAUCCGGUGGUUCUGUAUGGAAGGGCCAUCGCUCAACGGAUAAAAGGUACUCCGGGGAUAACAGGCUGAUACCGCCCAAGAGUUCAUAUCGACGGCGGUGUUUGGCACCUCGAUGUCGGCUCAUCACAUCCUGGGGCUGUAGCCGGUCCCAAGGGUAUGGCUGUUCGCCAUUUAAAGUGGUACGCGAGCUGGGUUCAGAACGUCGUGAGACAGUUCGGUCCCUAUCUGUCGUGGGCGUUGGAGAUUUGAGGGGGGCUGCUCCUAGUACGAGAGGACCGGAGUGGACGUUCCGCUGGUGUUCGGGUUGUCAUGCCCAUGGCAUUGCCCGGUAGCUACGAACGGAAGUGAUAACCGCUGAAAGCAUCUAAGCGGGAAGCACGCCCCAAGAUGAGAUCUCCCGAGAGCUUGACUCUCCUAAAGGCACCAUCAAGACUAGGUGGUUGAUAGGUCAGGUGUGGAAGCGCAGCAAUGCGUUGAGCUAACUGAUACUAAUGAGCCGUGAGGCUUGAAC